UUGAAAACUUGGGGCUCCAACACAUUCAAUUAGCUAUAUUCAGGAAAAUCAUUUAAUGUCUAAGCAGUGUCAAAUUGUGCUUGCAGCAACUUAAAUAAACAUUGUUUCAAGUUUCUUCCGGUGAAAUAUAAAUGCACGACAUACAAAUCAUGUAACCUCAAAUCAAGAACAAAUUCUCUUAUGUAAAGACAAUUACGUUUACGUGCAAAUUUCGUAAGCUGAGUGAUUUCCUGAUCGUAGAUUAACCAUACAUAUACUAGUAGUUCAACU
rnacentral:lncRNA from 1 species